rnacentral:SRP_RNA from 1 species
GCCGGGCAUGGUGGCGCAUGCCUGUAAUCCCAGCUACUCAGGAGGCUGAGGCAGGAGAAUUGCUUGAACCCAGGAGGCAGAGGUUGCAGUGAGCUGAGAUCGUGCCACUGCCCUCCAGCCUGGGUGACAGAGCAAGACUCCAUCUCAA